rnacentral:rRNA from 1 species
UGGGGAAUUUUGGACAAUGGGCGAAAGCCUGAUCCAGCCAUGCCGCGUGUGUGAAGAAGGUCUUCGGAUUGUAAAGCACUUUAAGUUGAGAGGAAGGGCAGUAAGUUAAUACCUUGCUGUUUUGACGUUACCGGCAGAAUAAGCACCGGCUAACUCCGUG